rnacentral:piRNA from 1 species
UAGGAGUGGGACAAGGACUCCA